AGUGAACGCUGGCGGUAGGCCUAACACAUGCAAGUCGAACGGCAGCACAGUAAGAGCUUGCUCUUACGGGUGGCGAGUGGCGGACGGGUGAGGAAUACAUCGGAAUCUACUUUUUCGUGGGGGAUAACGUAGGGAAACUUACGCUAAUACCGCAUACGACCUACGGGUGAAAGCAGGAGAUCUUCGGACCUUGCGCGAUUGAAUGAGCCGAUGUCGGAUUAGCUAGUUGGCGGGGUAAAGGCCCACCAAGGCGACGAUCCGUAGCUGGUCUGAGAGGAUGAUCAGCCACACUGGAACUGAGACACGGUCCAGACUCCUACGGGAGGCAGCAGUGGGGAAUAUUGGACAAUGGGCGCAAGCCUGAUCCAGCCAUACCGCGUGGGUGAAGAAGGCCUUCGGGUUGUAAAGCCCUUUUGUUGGGAAAGAAAAGCAGCAGGUUAAGACCCCGCUGUUCUGACGGUACCCAAAGAAUAAGCACCGGCUAACUUCGU
rnacentral:rRNA from 1 species